rnacentral:rRNA from 1 species
GAUGAACGCUGGCGGCGUGCCUAAUACAUGCAAGUCGAACGCAUAGCGAAAGGUGCUUGCACCUUUCAAGUGAGUGGCGAACGGGUGAGUAACACGUGGACAACCUGCCUCAAGGCUGGGGAUAACAUUUGGAAACAGAUGCUAAUACCGAAUAAAACUUAGUGUCGCAUGACACAAAGUUAAAAGGCGCUUCGGCGUCACCUAGAGAUGGAUCCGCGGUGCAUUAGUUAGUUGGUGGGGUAAAGGCCUACCAAGACAAUGAUGCAUAGCCGAGUUGAGAGACCGAUCGGCCACAUUGGGACUGAGACACGGCCCAAACUCCUACGGGAGGCUGCAGUAGGGAAUCUUCCACAAUGGGCGAAAGCCUGAUGGAGCAACGCCGCGUGUGUGAUGAAGGCUUUCGGGUCGUAAAGCACUGUUGUAUGGGAAGAACAGCUAGAAUAGGAAAUGAUUUUAGUUUGACGGUACCAUACCAGAAAGGGACGGCUAAAUACGUG